rnacentral:rRNA from 1 species
AACGAACGCUGGCGGCAUGCCUAACACAUGCAAGUCGAACGAGAUCUUCGGGUCUAGUGGCGCACGGGUGCGUAACGCGUGGGAAUCUGCCCUUUGGUUCGGAAUAACAGUUGGAAACGACUGCUAAUACCGGAUGAUGACGCAAGUCCAAAGAUUUAUCGCCAGAGGAUGAGCCCGCGUAGGAUUAGCUAGUUGGUGUGGUAAAGGCGCACCAAGGCGACGAUCCUUAGCUGGUAUGAGAGGAUGAUCAGCCACACUGGGACUGAGACACGGCCCAGACUCCUACGGGAGGCAGCAGUGGGGAAUAUUGGACAAUGGGCGAAAGCCUGAUCCAGCAAUGCCGCGUGAGUGAUGAAGGCCUUAGGGUUGUAAAGCUCUUUUACCCGGGAUGAUAAUGACAGUACCGGGAGAAUAAGCUCCGGCUAACUCCGUGCCAGCAGCCGCAGUAA